rnacentral:rRNA from 1 species
AGUCUAAAUAGGCAAAUCCGUUUAGACAAUGCUAGGAUGUGAUGGGGAAGCCCUUUGGGGCGAAGUAGCUGAUUUCACACUGUCAAGAAAAGCUUCUAUCGAGUUUAAAGGCGCCCGUACCGUAAACCGACACAGGUGGGUGAGGAGAGUAUCCUAAGGCCAGCGAGAGAACUAUUGUUAAGGAACUCGGCAAAAUGACCCCGUAACUUAGGGAGAAGGGGUGCCUGUCUAUGACAGGCCGCAGAGAAUAGGCCCAAGCGACUGUUUACAAAAACACAGGUUUCUGCUAAGUCGCAAGACGAUGUAUAGGAGCUGACGCCUGCCCGGUGCUGGAAGGUUAAGGGGAUCUGUUAGAGCAAUCGAAGCAGUGAACUUAAGCCCCAGUAAACGGCGGCCGUAACAAUAACGGUCCUAAGGUAGCGAAAUUCCUUGUCGGGUAAGUUCCGACCCGCACGAAAGGCGUAACGAUUUGGGCACUGUCUCAACAAUAGACUCGGUGAAAUUGUAAUCCCGGUGAAGAUGCCGGGUACCUGCGACAGGACGGAAAGACCCCAUGGAGCUUUACUGUAGCUUGACGUUGGGUCUUGGUACUACAUGUACAGGAUAGGUGGGAGACUAUAAAGCAUGGACGCCAGUCUGUGUGGAGUCAUCCUUGGGAUACCACCCUUGUAGUACUGGGAUCCUAACCAUAGGCCUUGAAUCAGGUCUUGGAACACCGUCAGGUGGGCAGUUUGACUGGGGCGGUCGCCUCCUAAAAAGUAACGGAGGCGCUCAAAGGUUUCCUCAGCACGGUCGGAAAUCGUGCGAAGAGUGUAAAGGCAAAAGGAAGCUUGAUUGCAAGACAUACAGGUCGAGCAAGGACGAAAGUCGGACUUAGUGAUCCGGUGGUACCGCAUGGAAGGGCCAUCGCUCAACGGAUAAAAGCUACCCUGGGGAUAACAGGCUUAUCUCCCCCAAGAGUCCACAUCGACGGGGAGGUUUGGCACCUCGAUGUCGGCUCAUCACAUCCUGGGGCUGUAGUAGGUCCCAAGGGUUGGGCUGUUCGCCCAUUAAAGUGGUACGCGAGCUGGGUUCAGAACGUCGUGAGACAGUUCGGUCCCUAUCCGUCGCAGGCGUAGGAAAUUUGAGAAGACCUGUCCUUAGUACGAGAGGACCGGGAUGGACGUACCUCUGGUGUACCAGUUGUUCUGCCAAGGGCAUGGCUGGGUAGCUAUGUACGGAAUGGAUAAGCGCUGAAAGCAUCUAAGCGCGAAGCCAACUUCAAGAUAAGAUUUCCCACCGUAAGGGUAAGACCCCAGGAAGACUACCUGGUUGAUAGGUCGAAGGCGUAAGUGCAGUAAUGUAUUUAGCUUAUCGAUACUAAUAGGUCGAGGACUUGAC